UAGAAUAUAUUGCUCUUCUGAGAGAAUGGCACAAACUGAAAUAAAAAUUUCAGACCUUCUACAGCACCGUCUCUUUGGAAGCUGGGGACAGAUGUCAAGAGACCCGGCUUUAUGUGCAGUUCUAGUGCUGCAUUUAUAGAGCUGUCAUCCACUUCUUUUAGGCUAUAUCCCACAUCCUUAAUGUCAAACAUUUGUGGCU